UAGCUCAGUUGGUAGAGCGUCUCGUUGCCAACGAGAAGGUCGCGGGUUCGAAUCCCG
rnacentral:tRNA from 1 species